AUGAACGCUGGCGGCGUGCCUAAUACAUGCAAGUCGAGCGAACAGACGAGGAGCUUGCUCCUCUGACGUUAGCGGCGGACGGGUGAGUAACACGUGGAUAACCUACCUAUAAGACUGGGAUAACUUCGGGAAACCGGAGCUAAUACCGGAUAAUAUAUUGAACCGCAUGGUUCAAUAGUGAAAGACGGUUUUGCUGUCACUUAUAGAUGGAUCCGCGCCGCAUUAGCUAGUUGGUAAGGUAACGGCUUACCAAGGCAACGAUGCGUAGCCGACCUGAGAGGGUGAUCGGCCACACUGGAACUGAGACACGGUCCAGACUCCUACGGGAGGCAGCAGUAGGGAAUCUUCCGCAAUGGGCGAAAGCCUGACGGAGCAACGCCGCGUGAGUGAUGAAGGUCUUCGGAUCGUAAAACUCUGUUAUUAGGGAAGAACAAAUGCGUAAGUAACUAUGCACGUCUUGACGGUACCUAAUCAGAAAGCCACGGCUAACUACGU
rnacentral:rRNA from 1 species